CCCGGGCCCGAGGGAUCCCCCGCAGCCGCGCGCGCCCGGCCUGGGGCGGAGUGCUUGCGGGUGUGUCCGUCCGUCCGUCCUCCGCCCCCGCCCCCCUGCGGUGGCUCCCGGCUCGCCCGCCUCGGCGGCCGCGCCCGGCAGAUGCACUGUGCGUGGCCCCGGCUACUGGGCCCGGGCCUCCCGGCCCGGUCGGCCCAGGGUUGGGGGACGCGGCUGAAGCGACCUCCCCGUCUGCUCUCAACACCUGAGGAAACUGGCAGAAAAGUUUGAGAACGAAAAGUCCAAUCGUCUUUCAGCUUCCGCCCUCCCUAUGACACUCCAGCCACGGAUGGUGCAUAUGUAUUUGCCUCACUCACCUCGAGCAUGGCCAUGUAACCAGUGUGAAGAAGCGAGGAUGUGUCCAGGCCUUGAAUGUUUGCAUUUGCUCUCUGAUGCUCCUCCCUUCACCAUGAGAUCUGUAUACCCUGGAUGAGCCAUGGUUCCAUGAUAGAGAGACACAUGGAACAGACCCAAGCCAAGCCCAGCUGAGUUCAGCCAACCUGUGGACCCAAGAGUAAAAAGAAAGAUAUGUCUGCUGUAAGCCACUGAGAUCUGGGGAUUAUUUGUUACAUAGCCAUGUCACAGCCACGGCUGACUAAUGAGUGUUCAUGAUUUUCUUUACAUGGAACCGCUCUAAUACUUGGAUCUGAGAUGCUCACUCCGAUGCAUAUUACUGAAGAAUUGAGGUCUAAUAAGCAGUCUUUUCCCCUUCAGACUUCUUUCCAUGGCCUCUUCCCAGAAUGUGCAUCUCCUACAUUUUCAGGACAGUUAAUCGCAUUGAAAAAUUCUGUCCAACAAGCCACUCUACAGACUCUCAGCCCUGCCAGUGCCUGACAAGGGCUAUUCUUGAUGUGGGAGGACCUCAGCUUUAUGGGGAGGAUGAUCGGGCUGAAGCUCGGAGAGACAGAGGGGCCUACGAAGCUGCAGCAGCAGGAGCAGAAAGCACAGCUGCAGGGCCUUCUGGAAAGAACAGAGAAGAGGAGCGGCCCUAUGCUGGCGCCACACGAGGACAUCGUAAACCUGAACCAGGAUGUUCUUUGUGAUGACAGGGAAUGAAGAGUGAUGAGAAGAGAUGCUGCUCAAGCUGCUCAGAGCCUAGAGGGGGGACCUGAGACCUUAAAGAAGCACAGACAGAAGGAGGAAGGAAGGAUCACGGGCCUUUCAUUGGUUCUACACGGUGUCAGUUUACGGCAGAUUUCACGUGGGUGGCAGAGCUGAGCCUUUGCCAUGAGUUCCAGCUCCCAACUCUAUCCCUUUCUGGAUCCCCUGCUGGACACGUUCUUUCCUCUGGGACUAGCACACUUGGAUUUCUCUGGCUCAGUUCCUUCUGGAAGCCGAAGAU